UAUUAUUUGUUCCUCUUACAAACCUUACCUGGACUUCCAUAAAUAUUUCAAGACAAAAAUAAGCCAAGUCGGUUCAGUCGUUCUCCAGUUU